GCCAGCGUGGUGUAGUGGUUUGAGUGUUGGACUACAACUCAUGAGACCAAGGUUCGAUUCUUGCUCAGCCA
rnacentral:tRNA from 1 species